CUACGGGUUGCUCCAGUUAGGAAUAAUCUACAAUGCGCGCAAGCGUGAUAGUUUGAGCCAAAGUGCUUUUCAAAUGAAAAGCUUUUGUUAAAUGUAAAAAGUUUAACGAAUAAGGACUGGGUAAGACUAGUGCCAACCGCCGCGGUAAUACUAGCGGUCCAAGUCGCAGCCAUUUUUAUUGGGUCUAAAACAUCCGUAGCUUGUUUAAUAAGUUUCUUGUGAAAUUUUGUAUCUCAAGUACAAAGAUUGUGAGAAGUACUGUUAAACUAGAGACUGGAAGACGUAAGAAGUACGUUUGGAGUAGCGGUUAAAUGUGUUAAUCCCAGACGGACUAGCAAUUAGCGAAGGCAUCUUACGAGGACAGUUCUGACAGUAAGGGAUGAAGGCUAGGGGCGCAAAUGGGAUUAGAUACCCCUGUAGUC
rnacentral:rRNA from 1 species